rnacentral:rRNA from 6 species
UACAACUUUUAACAACGGAUCUCUUGGUUCUGGCAUCGAUGAAGAACGCAGCGAAAUGCGAUAAGUAGUGUGAAUUGCAGAAUUCAGUGAAUCAUCGAAUCUUUGAACGCACAUUGCGCCCUUUGGUAUUCCAAAGGGCAUGCCUGUUCGAGCGUCA